rnacentral:misc_RNA from 1 species
GUAGGUGAACCUGCGGAAGGAUCAUUAACACAAAAAAUUAAUGGUGCACUUUGGUGCAUUCAUCCCACCCAAAUCCAAAUUUGUAGUGCGAGUGAAGGUUUCUUUUGAGAUUCAUUUUUUUGGAACUCGAAAGGGGUCUUCCAAACUUUUUUCACUCUCUUUUUUUUUACCAAAAAACACCAACACCUCUUUCUAGUGCUUCUGAAUCAUGAUCGAUUAUAACAAACAAACAAAAAAAAAUCUAAAGAUG